rnacentral:rRNA from 1 species
CGACCUCAAAUCAGGUAGGACUACCCGCUGAACUUAAGCAUAUCAAUAAGCGGAGGAAAAGAAACCAACAGGGAUUGCCUUAGUAGCGGCGAGUGAAGCGGCAAAAGCUCAAAUUUGAAAUCUGGCACUUUCAGUGUCCGAGUUGUAAUUUGAAGAAGGUAUCUUUGGGUCUGGCUCUUGUCUAUGUUUCUUGGAACAGAACGUCACAGAGGGUGAGAAUCCCGUGCGAUGAGAUGUCCCAGACC